rfam:Sporomusa sphaeroides DSM 2875 SPSPH_contig000001, whole genome shotgun sequence.
CGAAAAACGAUGAAGAGGAAAAGUAGCCAUUCAAUUACAGCCCAGAGAGCUAGGAAACGGUGAGAACCUAGCCUGAAGUUGAUGUGUGAAGUUCUCCUUGGAGUUGCCAGCUGAAGAACGGGGCAAUUGCUGUCCCGAUUGGUAGGUGCGGACGGGACUUCCGCCGUUAGCGGGAAGGAGGUAUCGGUAACAUUUGAUGUUGCCCGUACUUUACAGAGCGGAGUCUGCCGGCCAGAACAGCCGAAUGACUCUACUAGGGUGGUAUCGCGGGAAGUGAAAACUCCCGUCCCUUAU